AAUCGAGCUUCCCCAAUUUGAGCUUUUAUUAGUUUGCAGUAAACCUGAAGCAGUUGGAAAGUACUCAAUCUGCGGACAGAACUGCAAUUGGAAAGUAGUAUUAUCUCCAUCUCUCUGCCAGUGCCAAAUCCUCUUGAAUGGGUUGUGGCUGGUUCUUUUCAAUUUAUGUGCCCUCUGAAGGGCGGUUGUUUAUCCUUAGCUAGACGACAUUUGGCACCCAAGUCUUCAGCUCGCCACCGACGACCCUCAGUUCGUCACCGUGUCAGCGUUUGUCUCUUCGCGACCUCGGUAUGGCCCAGCUGCUUGCCUACUACGAACGGCCAAGCCCCAACUUGUCGCGCCUCCUCAGUUGUCGCGCCGCAGCGUCACCGACUUCGGUGUAUUUUGCAAUGACAGGGUGGGAGUGUUCUCUCCCCGCCAACCCACCGUCUCCCACUCUUAGUCCUGCGGCAUCCCCGGCACCUCCGACACCUCCGCCGCCUCGCCGACCCCGCCGUCGGUCUCGCCGCUCCCGGCAGCGUCGCAGAGUCCGCCGUGCGGCACAGCACCCCGCAGUCCUCGCACCGUAUAUGUCAGAUGAACCUUCGUCCCCGGCACCUGCCUCGCCUGCACAGCUGCUGGCUACGGCGCCGGCCACUCUGGCGGAUACGUCGGAUGUGAUUCCGUUGAUUGAUACUUACUGCUUUAACGAUCUAGCGUGAGCUGUUUCCUCACGCAUUUGUACUUUUGUUUGUAUACUCUCU